ensembl:ncRNA B0457.17 ncRNA
GGAUUCUCGUGGCGGCAAUUCAAAUGCAACAAGGCUGAAGAUUUUUUUAUUCAGAUUCCAUCAAGAAUAUUGUUUACUGACUAGAGAGACCACCGGUUCGAUUCGCAUUACGCAACUCUGACUCGCUUCUGUCACAAACGGGCGGCGCUACUUCUCAAAGGACGAAAAAAAAC